UACGGGGGGGGCAAGCGUUGUUCGGAAUUACUGGGCGUAAAGGGCUCGUAGGCGGCCAACUAAGUCAGACGUGAAAUCCCUCGGCUUAACCGGGGAACUGCGUCUGAUACUGGAUGGCUUGAGUGUGGGAGAGGAAUGCGGAAUUCCAGGUGUAGCGGUGAAAUGCGUAGAGAUCGGAAAGAACACCAACGGCGAAAGCACUCUGCUGGGCCGACACUGACACUGAGGGACGAAAGCUAGGGGAGCGAAUGGG
rnacentral:rRNA from 1 species